CAUUUGGCCAAUUCUCAAAUUUUUCUUCAAUUUUUCACAUGUUCAAAACCCUAGCUACACUGAAAGUUCAACCUAAUGCAAUUUAAAGUGUGUAUUUAUGUUCUACACACCUAUUUUACCUCAAAUAACCAUUCAAAACCAUCAAACUCAUUCAUAAUAAACCCUAACCCUAGCUGGACGAAUUUCAUGUUUGGUCCUCCAAAUUAUUUUCUUUUGAUUUUAAGUUAAACUCUAAGUUUACUUAAAUUAGAACAUAAACAUUUAACUGCAACUUCCAAGUUUAGAUGACUAACCUCAACUUUGACGUUCAACCUUCAAUUUUUUUCUUCUUUUCUUCUUUCUUUCUUGAUCAAUCGUCUUCUCAAGUUGGUCUAACAAGUUUUAAUGGGGAAUUUGGAGACAAAGUGGGGUUAGGUGGUUGGAAGAAGCUUGGUUUCAAGCUUUAAUGGAGUUUUCUCCAAUGGUGAAGUGAGGGAGAGAAGGGUGGCCGAAAUUUUGGAGAAGGAGAUCUGAUUUUUUUUUUCUUUUUAAUGUAUUUUUAAGUCUUUAAAAUUGCUUUUGACUUGGUCUAAUUUUGUGGGAAAAUUUUAAUUUAAUUUAUGACAUCAUAAUGGUGAGCUAAGGUGAUGUAAAUA
rnacentral:misc_RNA from 1 species